rfam:Triticum aestivum genome assembly, contig: Triticum_aestivum_CS42_TGACv1_scaffold_221321_3B
CUUGUACUACCACAGUCCGGAAAUACUUGUCAUCAAAAUGGAUAAAAGGGGAUGUAUCUAGAUGUAUUUUAGUCCUAGAUACAUCUCUUUUUAUCCAUUUUGAUGAUAAGUAUUUUCGGACGGAGGGAGUACUCC